GGUUUUAACCCAGUUACUCAAG
rnacentral:misc_RNA from 2 species